rnacentral:misc_RNA from 1 species
GAAAUGCGAUAAGUAAUGUGAAUUGCAGAAUUCAGUGAAUCAUCGAAUCUUUGAACGCACAUUGCGCCCGCCAGUAUUCUGGCGGGCAUGCCUGUCCGAGCGUCAUUACAACCCUCAGGCCCCCGGGCCUGGCGUUGGGGAUCGGCGGAAGCCCCCUGCGGGCACAACGCCGUCCCCCAAAUACAGUGGCGGUCCCGCCGCAGCUUCCAUUGCGUAGUAGCUAACACCUCGCAACUGGAGAGCGGCGCGGCCACGCCGUAAAACACCCAACUUCUGAAUGUUGACCUCGAAUCAGGUAGGAAUACCCGCUGAACUUAAGC